rnacentral:rRNA from 1 species
CAUUACCGAGUUUACAACUCCCAAACCCAAUGUGAACGUUACCAAACUGUUGCCUCGGCGGGAUCUCUGCCCCGGGUGCGUCGCAGCCCCGGACCAAGGCGCCCGCCGGAGGACCAACCAAAACUCUUUUGUAUACCCCCUCGCGGGUUUUUAUAUCUGAGCCAUCUCGGCGCCUCUCGUAGGCGUUUCGAAAAUGAAUCAAAACUUUCAACAACGGAUCUCUUGGUUCUGGCAUCGAUGAAGAACGCAGCGAAAUGCGAUAAGUAAUGUGAGUUGCAGAAUUCAGUGAAUCAUCGAAUCUUUGAACGCACAUUGCGCCCGCCAGUAUUCUGGCGGGCAUGCCUGUCCGAGCGUCAUUUCAACCCUCGAACCCCUCCGGGGGGUCGGCGUUGGGGAUCGGCCCUUUACGGGGCCGGCCCCGAAAUACAGUGGCGGCCUCGCCGCAGCCUCUCCUGCGCAGUAGUUUGCACACUCGCAUCGGGAGCGCGGCGCGUCCAUUGCCGUUAAACACCCAACUUUCUGAAAUGUUGACCUCGGAUCAGGUAGGAAUACCCGCUGAACUUAA